AGGUAAUCUAUGCCUGAGGUAGAAAAGCCUUAGUAUUUCAAACAAUUCAAAAUUUUGUAAACAGUUAAUUUAUAAAUAUAACUAUACCAAUUAUAAUUCAUGUCAGCACAAAAUGUGCUGACUACUGGUCUUGUGAUACCCUCGGGGAUAUAAAUCUCCACCAGCAGUGGCAUCCACCCAGUGGUUGUAAAUAAACUCAUCAUAGAUACCAGGAC
rnacentral:lncRNA from 1 species